rnacentral:rRNA from 1 species
AUUGAACGCUGGCGGCAGGCUUAACACAUGCAAGUCGAGCGAGCGGCGGACGGGUGAGUAAUGUCUGGGGAUCUGCCCGAUAGAGGGGGAUAACUAAUGGAAACGGUGGCUAAUACCGCAUACUAUCGGAUGCACCCAGAUGGGAUUAGCUAGUAGGUGGGGUAAAGGCUCACCUGGGCGACGAUACCUAGCUGGUCUGAGAGGAUGACCAUCCACACUGGGACUGAGACCAGGUCCAGACUCCUACGGGAGGAAGCAUUGGGGAAUAUUGCAAAAUGGGCGCAAGCCUGAUGCAGCCAUGCCGCGUGUAUGAAGAAGGCCUGAGGGUUGUAAAGUACUUUCAGCGGGGAGGCGUUACCCGCAGAAGAAGCACCGGCUAACUCCGUGCCAGCAGCCGCGGUAAUAC